rnacentral:rRNA from 1 species
UACGGGGGGUGCGAGCGUUGUCCGGAAUCACUGGGCGUAAAGGGCGCGUAGGUGGUUUGAUAAGCAUGUGGUGAAAGUCCGGGGCUCAACCCCGGAUCUGCCGUGCCGACUGUCAAACUCGAGGGCUGUAGAGGCAGACGGAAUUCCGGGUGUAGCGGUGGAAUGCGUAGAGAUCCGGAGGAAGACCGGUGGCGAAGGCGGUCUGCUGGGCAGUUUCUGACACUGAUGCGCGACAGCGUGGGGAGCAAACAGG